rfam:Candidatus Roizmanbacteria bacterium RIFCSPHIGHO2_12_FTLL_39_8 rifcsphigho2_12_scaffold_5508, whole genome shotgun sequence.
GGGCCACUAGCUCAACUGGUAGAGCAUCUCGCUCUUAACGAGGUGGUUCGGGGUUCGAGUCCCCGGUGGCUCA